UUCUUACUCUUUGUAACUAGAUGUCAUAAUCAAGCUUUGAUCGUAUAUACGCUAGUACAGUUGAAUCUUGCAGUACUCCCCCCUCACCCUCGUAAGACAAAGCACAAUGUAUAUCCUCGGUCCGUAACCUGAUGGAAACAGUCCCUGGGACUAGCUUUACUGGAAGGGGAGCAGCUUUUAAUGCUUUGUGUAUCCCUAUUUUUUAUCUUCUGUUUGCUUUUAAAUGAGGUCCUUUGAGUGUUUUGCCACCAGUAGAAGCCGGGGCUGGCUUGAAGCAAAAAAGGACAAGCACUGCUGUGCUCAGAUCUUAUCUCACCUGUCCUAUUUGCAUUGAAGGCUGGACAAAAGGCAGCAAUUUCAUAAAGGCAAGGCAGCCAGGGUGGCUCUUGUGAAAGAAUGAGGAAGCUGCCGGGCUCAGUGAAGGCUGCGUUCCCCUUUCCUGCUGAGGUACCAAACAUAUCUGCAGGAGCAAAUGCUGGUUUCCUGGCUGGCUGAUCAGCCGGAUUCAUCGGAGGAAUUCAAGUGCCAGCGGCGAGGACCGGCGGCAGGGCUGGAGAGCUGGGUCCCGCUAAGAGGAUGAAAACAUGGGGCUCAAGUUAUCCUGCCUGAAAGGCUUGAAGACGUGCGUGAGCAGUGGAAACGGCAGCGGCAGGACCCCGGAGGCAUCCCCGGGCGAGAAGCGCCUGCACGUGCCCUCCAUCAUCGUCACGCCACCCACUCCCACGGGGACCACGCUGUCCCGCGAGGCUCGGCGCGCGGGGGGGCCGUCGCCGUGCACCCAGUGCUGAGCGGGGGGCUGGGGCGGGGGGGGGACGCGCACACCAGCCGCAUCUGUCCCCACUCCGCUGGGAUGGAGCCAGAGCCGCCGGGAUGCGAAUUGGCCGGAUCCAGCACCCCUGGAGCUCACCGGGGACACGUGGCGGGGCACCCACCGCACGGGUGGGUUUGGACACCGGUGACUGUUUUUUCUCUCUUUUCCUAAAAACGCCGGGGAGGGGGUGGCACAGCGCAGCUCCUUCCCUGUGAAUAAAGCCCCUGGGGCUCCGCACCCCCCCUGCCCCGGUUUGGCACCCGCCGUCUCCCUCGGGCUGUGUCGGCGGAGCGAUGGGCGGGGGGGGAGCCAUCCCCCCAGAAAGCUGCCCCUGUGCCGAAUGGGGGGGCCAAAAGCAGGCUACACCCCACCAGCCCCCUCCUCUCCGCUUGGAUUGAAGAAGCCGGUUGCAAACGGCACCGGAAAAAUGAACUCGGCGUCGUCUGCAACCCGCCCUCACGGCCCCGCCGCAUCGCCCGCAUCCCGGGGAGGGAACCGGGGGCGAUGCUUCCCGGGGAGCGGCGGCAC